rnacentral:rRNA from 1 species
CCGCACAAGCGGCGGAGCAUGCGGAUUAAUUCGAUGCAACGCGAAGAACCUUACCAAGGCUUGACAUGUUCUCGAUCGCCGUAGAGAUACGGUUUCCCCUUUGGGGCGGGUUCACAGGUGGUGCAUGGUUGUCGUCAGCUCGUGUCGUGAGAUGUUGGGUUAAGUCCCGCAACGAGCGCAACCCUCGUUCCAUGUUGCCAGCACGUCGUGGUGGGGACUCAUGGGAGACUGCCGGGGUCAACUCGGAGGAAGGUGAGGACGACGUCAAAUCAUCAUGCCCCUUAUGUCUUGGGCUUCACGCAUGCUACAAUGGCCGGUACAAUGGGUU